GAUGAACGCUGGCGGCAGGCUUAACACAUGCAAGUCGAGCGCCCCGCAAGGGGAGCGGCAGACGGGUGAGUAACGCGUGGGAAUCUACCCAUCCCUACGGAAUAGCUCCGGGAAACUGGAAUUAAUACCGUAUACGCCCUACGGGGGAAAGAUUUAUCGGGGAUGGAUGAGCCCGCGUUGGAUUAGCUAGUUGGUGGGGUAAAGGCCUACCAAGGCGACGAUCCAUAGCUGGUCUGAGAGGAUGAUCAGCCACAUUGGGACUGAGACACGGCCCAAACUCGUACGGGAGGCAGCCGUGGGGAAUAUUGGACAAUGGGGGCGACCCUGAUCCAGCCAGGCCGCGUGAGUGAUGAAGGCCUUAGGGUUGUAAAGCUCUUUCACCGGGGAAGAUAAUGACGGUACCCGGAGAAGAAGCCCCGGCUAACUUCGUGCCAGCCGCCGCCGUAA
rnacentral:rRNA from 1 species